UACAGAGGUCUCGAGCGUUGUUCGGAUUCAUUGGGCGUAAAGGGUGCGUAGGUGGUGCUGUAAGUCGGGUGUGAAAUCCUGAGGCUUAACCUCGGAACUGCAUUCGAUACUGCGGCGCUUGAGGACUGGAGAGGAGACUGGAAUUCAUGGUGUAGCAGUGAAAUGCGUAGAGAUCAUGAGGAAGACCAGUGGCGAAGGCGGGUCUCUGGACAGUUCCUGACACUGAGGCACGAAGGCCAGGGGAGCAAACGGG
rnacentral:rRNA from 1 species